UGGAUCAUUGAGAUUCAGAAACAAAAUUUGUUUUCCAAAUGACUCUAAUUUAAAGAGAGAAAUUAUGAGAGAAGCUCAUAACACUGGAUAUAUAGUACAUCCUGGAAGUACAAUAAUGUAUAAAGAUUUGAAAAAUAUAUUCUAGUGGAAUAACAUAAAGAGAGAAAUUGCACAGUUUGUAGCUCGGUGUUUGACUUGUCAGCAGGUUAAGGCAGAACACCAGAGACCAACUGGGUUGUUGCAUCCCCUUUCAAUUUCUGAAUUGAGGUGGGAACACAUCCCAAUAGACUUCGUCUCUACAUUGCCUCGUACUCCUAAAGGUUAUCAUGCUAUAUGGGUGAUUGUAGACAGACUGACUAAGUCGGCACACUUUUAGUAUUCAAAAUGGGAAUGACACUAGAAAAGUUUGCGGAGCUCUAUAUUGAGCAAAUAGUGAGGUUGCAUGGAAUACCGAUAUCCAUUAUUUUCGAUAAGGACUUGUGGUUUGUAUCUCACCUUUGGGGUAGUCUGUAUAAACCUUUGGGAACCACUCUCAGCUUUAGCACAGCUUUCCACCCUCAGACCGAUGGCCAGUCGAAAAGAACCAUUCAGAUCUUGGAGAAUAUGCUGAGGGCUUGUGUGGUUGACAUGAUAGGCUAUGUGGGAACUGGAGGACGAGAUGAAGAAAAAAUAUUCAUGCCUUUUUGAAAGCUAAGGUAUGUUAAAUUUCGAUAACGAAAUUUUUAAAAGGAGGGAAGAAUGUGAGUAUCGGGCCGCCAGAUGGGCCGACCUGGACCAAAGUCGGCAGCCCAUCUGGAGGCCACUAUCUGUUGCUUCGAGGGGGGAGAAGUGGAUGUGCGAUGGUUCUAGUAGAACCCACCCUUUUUAUUAACUAAACCCACAUCACGAUUCCUCCCUCACCAUUCUCCUUCUUCCUCAGAGACCGGGCUCCCUGAACGGACGUCUGCAUCGCCGGAGAAGGCGCUCGUGACUCCUUUCCAAAGUAAGCAUGGCUAUGAUCUGGCCCCGCCUAUGAGGAUUAUUCGUUGGCCCUGUCGACCUGUAUAUGUGAGAGUCGGGUUUCGACACCGUACCAUUGGUGAUUAGAAUAAUGGUGUUUGGACACCGUACCACCGGUGUUUAAUAAUAGUGGUGUUUGGACACUGUACCACCGGUGUAUAACAAUAGUAGUGUUUAGCACUUUGUGCGACCCAUGCUACUGGAUUUCGUGGCCGUAGCCUACGUAUGUUGGGAUUUUAGUAUCAGAGUUUUUGUGAAAAUGAUGAUAGGUUUUGAAAAGAAAAAUUAGAAUGCUUAUUGUGAUUUA